rnacentral:rRNA from 1 species
AGCGAACGCUGGCGGCGUACCUAACACAUGCAAGUCGAACGGGGGAUCACAGGGUUAGCAAUAACUCGGUGGUUCUAGUGGCGCACGGGUGAGUAACACGUGGGUAACCUGCCCUAGAGACUGGGAUACCCCCUCGAAAGGGGGGCUAAUACCGGAUACGUUCCUUAGAUCGACGGGUCUGAGGAGGAAAGGUGGCGAAAGCUGCCGCUCUUGGAGGGGCUCGCGGCCUAUCAGCUAGUUGGCGGGGUAACGGCCCACCAAGGCUAUGACGGGUAGCUGGUCUGAGAGGACGACCAGCCACACGGGGACUGAGACACGGCCCCGACUCCUACGGGAGGCAGCAGUGGGGAAUUUCCGCAAUGGGCGAAAGCCUGACGGAGUGACGCCGCGUGUGGGACGAAGGCCUUCGGGUCGC